AAAACAGAAGGCGAACGACGAUGUCAGUACCAUUCUGGUAAGGACGCGAUUCGGCAUACCAGACUGGCGAAGUCACGCGUUGGGCGUAUCAUAAUCGCAAAAAGCUCUCCACGCUCUGAAGAAGCAACGGCGACGCCUCCGACGACGAGCACAGCUGCCCAGCCCAGCAAACUAGCAGCGCCCUCGUCAGUUCCGUCUCGUUCCCAACCUCUCCCGGAUUCGAUUCGAUUGACCCGUCCGCUCCAAAUCGAAUCUAAUCAGCAGUUUUGGAGUUGCGGAAGGGAGAAAGAGAGAGGAGAGGGGCAUGGAUCAGGUGCUCAACAAGGUGGGGAGCUACUGGUUCAGCAAAAGGGCCAGCAAGGAAAUCGACUCCAUCGGCGACGACAUCAGCGUAAGUUCCCGCCUCCUUCCUCCUCCUGCCGUGCGCGCCUCGUAGCAACUGGGUUCUUCACCUGCAUUGCUUAGCCUCCCAUAGUAACCGAGGUUCUGGAUCUGGCCUCUUGGUUGUUGGGGAUUCCUCCGUCGCUACGGGAUUUGCGGCGCAGCGGGUAGGGAUGUAGAAUUUGGGUUAUAAUCAGGACUCAGGAGCGGACUGCGGGAGCCAACUUAAUUUUGGAAUGUUGCUCGCUUCCAUGAGUUAAUGGAGGAGCUGGAGCAAUGAACGUCAAGUCAUCGUGACGAUAAAUGCAAAUGGGAGUGGGAUUACACUGGUUUUUAGGAAGUUGGGUUGGUCUUGGUCAUCAGUGUGGUUGCUGCAGAUUAGUUCAACAGAUUCCUUAACAAAGCAUCAGAAUCAGAUUCGCUGAUUCGUAUCUUGAAAUGGCUUUGCUUACUAUGCAUGGUUUAUGUUACAUCUGGCCUUUGAGUUGCCCUUAGCUUGAGUUGAUUAUGCUUUUCUUCUAUUGGUUAAGCAUAACUUGUGUAUGGCUUGUGUGAAUCUGCCUGGAGCAUUUUUUUAAUAACCGAAGCAUUUUGGAAUCAAAUUUCAAUAACACGGGCUGUUUGGAUCCCUUCAUAUUGAAGUAAUUGGAUGCCGAAUCGCGUCCUCACCAGAAUGGUACUGACAUCGUCGUUCGCCUUCUGUUUUGGUCUUCGUAGCUUCAUCCUCGGAUUAAGGCCUAGUAAUAACUCGUUGCGGACACUUGUGCCCUUGCCGUUGUGCCUCGUUCUCCUCUCGAGCCUUCUCAGCCUGUAGUUCUUAGCGCUGCCGCCGUCGCCGCCAUGACUCCGCCACCGCAUCCCACUUUCCACGUGACGAGCUCGGCCUGCCAUCCGGUCCCUGGCGUCGCCUCCUCCGGUCUGUAUUCAUCUGCAUCAGGCUCUGUUCCGGCGAGGUGGUGCUCGGAUUCGUCGUCGCCGCAUCAGCUCUUGAUCCGGUCCAAACUGUCGACAUGAGUAAACUUCAAGCAGUUUGUAACUCAAACAAAUAACAGAACACACACUAGUUCACAAACAGUACAAGCAAACGAGUUUAUGCAGGUUCACAAACAUCCAGUUUCACAAACACCAGUUCACACAUCCAGUUACACAAACACCAGUUCACACAUCCAGUUACACAAACACCAGUUCACACAUCCAGUUUCACAAACACCAGUUCACACAUCCAGUUACACGUACUUGGAAAGGACACUGCCCAGUUACACAUACAUUAGACCACAUCAAAUCGCUCAGUUCACACUAGGAUUGGGGACUGCUGAUGUACUGCCAACUUCUUUUGGAAUCCAUGCUUCAGUGGUGUUCCUUCUAGGCUUCCUUGUUCUAAAAAAAAGACAUGUGAGAGUUGUUUUAAUCAAUUUAAAAUAAAAGAAAUAAUUUGUAGUUCCUUGCCUUUUCUUUGUUCCAUUGAGCACACACUUUGGGCUAUUCUUCCUAUGUCCUAAUUCACCGCAAUUUGGGCACUUGAAUUUGCCUCUAAUCAGUUUCCUUUCCUUCUCUGUUUCACCAACCUUUGGUUUCUUUUUGCUACCACCUUCAAGGAUUCCCCGAAUUCUAUUUUUCCUUUGCCGUCCAACCGCUCUUUUCCCUAAAGGAGCAUGCAUUUCCUCGAACAUGGCUGCCUUAGGCCAAAAAGACUUGUCUCCUAGUUGUUCUAUCAUUCUUUCAUAAGCCUUCCUGAACUUUUGAACUGAAAAGUAUUCGUCCACGAAGUCCUCCAUCCUCACAUCUUUAAAUUGUUGCGCUAUUAUGACCACUAGACCAUGCUGACACGGUUUGCCUGUGUGCUGCCAUUCUAGGCAAGAACAGUAAUGUUGGUCUGCCUUCACUAUGUGUCUUGAAUGGAUGUUGUUAAUGUCUCGAACCUCAGCUGAAUAGUGGUCACCUUUGACAAGUGACAGGUGCCCUAGACCCCGAGUCCUUGCCUUCAAAACAUUUAUCACACUUGGUAGAAUCUUCCCAGGUAGCCUGUCACCUAUCCUCCUACGCCUAAAAAAAAGUUCCAUGACCAUCACCCUAAUCUUGUCUGCAAGUUCACAAACUGGUAGGUCCUUGAAGUCUUUGAUCCAGUUGUUGAAUACCUCAGCGAUAUUGUUUGUGAUGUAGUCACACUUGAUGGCUUGGUUGAAACAGCUUCUGUACCACAGCAACCCAUGCCAGUCUUCGAGCCAUUUGUGCACCUCAGGGAUUGCUGCAACAUUGGCAUAAUGGUGUUCAAACACCUCAGGUCUGUAGGCCCGUGCUGCAGGGUACAUGUGCUCGGAUCCACCAAAAUGUUUGACAUAGUUCUGCAUUAAAUGCCUAAAACAUUCCCUCUUCUCAGCAUUAGGGAACACAUGUUCCACAGCAGCAGUCAACCCUUUGCAAGCGUCGGAGCAAACCGCAAGUAUAGGAAGGUCUCCAAUAGCUUUUCGUAGUUGUGUCAUGAACCAAGUCCAACUAUCUUUGGUUUCAGACUCAAAAAACCCAAAUGCAAGAGGAUACAUCCAAUUGUGCCCAUCAACACUAGUAGCUGAAGGUAAAUGACCAUUCCAUCGACCAUUCAAUGCAGUUGAGUCAACACUGAUAUAUGGUCUGCAUCCCUCACGAAAUCCUUGAAGGCAUGGGCCAAAAGCACAAAAGAACCUGCUAAAAAAUAUCUUGCCAUCCUCAACACGGACAUCAAUAUCAAUAACUGAAUCUGGCAUUUUCUCCAAUACAGCUUCUUUCCAUCUGAGUAAAAGUUGGAAGCUGUCCUCCCAACAUCCAUACAACUCACGCAAAGCUUUCUCUUUCAUAUCCUUAUACAGACUGCCAAUCUUCAUUAUAGGAUGGAGUUGUUACCCCUUUAUGAAUAUCACCGAGGAUGGAGUUCACGGGGUGAUCUCGUUGUAUCACUUGGUGGACUCUUGGGUGUGGCAGUCAUUGACCCUGUAUCUCCUGAUCAUCUUCCUUUACCUUAUUGACUUGAUCUCCCCCUUGAUCAUUGUCCUCCUCUUGAGGUGGCUCAUCCUCUUGAUCUUCAUCAUUAUCUUGAGCCUGUUCCUCAUCUUGUGUUGGUGGAGAUCCUUGCAUGGAAGAUGACGGUUGAUCUUGAGCUUGUGGAGGCUCUUCGGAUUCUUUAGGACACACAUCCCUAAUGGACAUGUUCCUUAGCGCGACGUAUGGAGCUUCUUCAUCAUCUAGCUCAUCAAGAUCAACUUGCUCUACCUGAGAGCCACUAGUCUCAUCAAACACAAUGUCACAAGAAACCUCAACUAAUCCAGUGGAUUUGUUGAAGACCCUAUAUGCCCUUGUGUUUGAGUCAUAACCAAGUAAAAGCCUUCUACAGCCUUAGGAGCAAAUUUAGAUUUUCUACCUCUUUUAACAAGAAUAAAACAUUUGCUACCAAAGACUCUAAAAUUUGAGACAUUGGGCUUUUUACCGGUGAGGAGUUCAUAUGAUGUUUUCUUGAGGAUUCGGUGAAGGUAGAGCCGGUUGAUGGAGUAGCAGGCGGUGUUAAUCGCCUCAGCCCAAAACCGGUCCAGUGUCUUGUACUCAUCAAGCAUAGUCCUUGCCAUGUCUAGUAGAGUUCUAUUCUUCCUCUCCACUACACCAUUUUGUUGAGGUGUGUAGGGAGAAGAGAACUCAUGCUUGAUGCCCUCCUCCUCAAGAAAGCCUUCAAUUUGAAAGUUCUUGAACUCCGUCCCGUUGUCGCUUCUAAUAUUUUUGAUUCUCAAUCCGAACUCAUUUUAAGCCCAUCUCAAGAAUUCUUUUAAGGUCUCUUGGGUUUGAGAUUUUUCCUGCAAAAAGAACACCCAAGUGAAGCGAGAAUAAUCAUCCACAAUUACUAGACAGUACUUACUCCCGCCGAUGCUUAUGUAAGCAAUUGGGCCGAAUAGAUCCAUGUGGAGUAGUUCCAGUGGCCUGUCCGUUGUCAUUAUGUUCUUAUGUGGAUGGUGUGUACCAACUUGCUUCCCUGCUUGACUUGCGCUACAAACCCUGUCUUUCUCAAAAUGAACAUUUGUUAGUCCCAAAAUGUGUUCUCCCUUUAGAAGCUUGUGAAGAUUCUUCAUCCCAAUAUGGGCUAGUCGGCGAUGCCAGAGCCAACCCAUAUUAGUCUUAGCAAUUAAGCAAGUAUCAAGUUCAGCUCUAUUGAAAUCAACUAAGUAUAGCUUACCCUCUAAUACUCCCUUAAAUGCUACUGAAUCAUCACUUCUUCUAAAGACAGUAACACCUAUAUCCGUAAAAAGACAGUUGUAACCCAUUUUGCAUAAUUGAGAAACAGAAAGGAAAUUGUAAUCUAAAGAAUCUACAAGAAAAACAUUGGAAAUGGAAUGGUCAGGUGAUAUAGCAAUUUUACCGAGUCCUUUGACCAAACCUUGAUUUCCAUCCCCGAAUGUGAUAGCUCUUUGGGGAUCAUCAUUUUUCUCGUAGGAGGAGAACAUCCUUUUCUCCCCUGUCAUGUGGUUUGUGCACCCGCUAUCAAUGAUCCAACUUGAGCCCCCGGAUGCAUAAACCUACAAAACAAAUUUAGGCCUUGUUCUUAGGUACCCAAACGGUCUUGGGUCCUUUUACAUUAGAAACAAGCACCUUGGGUACCCAAACACAAGUCUUGGAGCCCUUGUGUUUUCCCCCCAACAUAUUUGGCAACUACUUUGCCUGAUUUGUUAGUGAGCACAUAGGAAGCAUCAAAAGUCUUAAAUGAAACAUGUGGAUCAUUUGAUGCAAUAGGAGUUUUCUUUUUAGGCAUUUUAACAUGGGUAGAAUGCCUAGAGCUAGAAGCCUCACUCUUAUACAUAAAAGCAUGAUGGGAAACAGAGUGAGUCUUCUUAGCAUGAAUUCUCCUAAUCUUGUGCUCGGGAUAACCAGCAGGAUAUAAAACAUAGCCCUCGUUAUCCUGAGCCAUGGAAGCCUUACCCUUAACAAAAUUGGACAAUUUCUUGGGGCAUUAAGCUUGACAUUGUCUCCCUGUUGGAAGCCAAUGCCAUCCUUAAUGUCAGGGUGUCUCCCAUUAUAAAGCAUGCUUCUAGCAAAUUUAAAAUUUUCAUUCUCUAUCUCAUGCUCAUUAAUUUUGCUAGUUAGUUGUGCUAUGUGAUCAUUUUGUUGUUUAAUUAAAGCUAGGUGAUCAUGGAUAGCAUCAACAUUAAUGCCUCUACAUCUUAUGCAAAUAGAAACAUGAUCGACAGUGGAUGUAGAGGGUUUGCAAGCAUUUAAUUCAUCAAUCUUAGCAUGUAACAUGUCAUUCUCAUCUCUAAGAUUGGAAAUAGAAGUAUUGCAAACAUUCAAUUCCUUAGCUUUUGAAAUUAAUCUAGCAUUUUCAAUUUUAAGGCUAGAAAUUGAUUCAUUCAAUUUAUCAAUUUUAGCAAUUAAACUAGCAUUAUCAUUUUUAAGAUUGACAGUUGAAUCAUGACAAACAUUUGAUUUUUCAACCUUAGCAAAUAAAUCACCAUUCUCAUUCCUAAGGUUGGAAAUGGUGUCAUGGCAAAUGCUAAGCUCCUUAGUCAAAUUUUCAUUCUUUUCUACUUCCUGAGCAUAAGCAUUCUUUACCUUAACAUGCUUUUUAUUUUCCUUAAUAAGGAACUCCUCUUGGCUAUCCAAGAGUUCAUCCUUCUCAUGAAUAGCACUUAUCAAUUCAUUUAAUUUUUCUCUUUGUUGCAUGUUAAGGUUGGCAAAAAGAGCAAGCAAAUUAUCUUCAUCAUCACUAGAGCUACCCUCAUCACUAGAUGUUGUAUAUUUAGUGGAGGCUCUAGAUUUUACCUUCUUCUUUUUGCCGUCCUUUGCCAUGAGGCACUUGUGGCCGACGUUGAGAAAGAGGAGGCCUUUGGUGACGGCGAUGUUGGCGGCGUCCUCGUCCGAGGAGGAGUCGCUGGUGCUUUCAUCGGAAUCCCAUUCCCGACACACGCGGGCAUCGCCGCCCUUCUUGUAAUAUCUCUUCUUCUCCUUAUUCUUCCCUCUCUUGUCGUCGACCCUGUCAUUGUCACUAGAAAUAGGACAUUUUGCUAUAAAGUGACCGGGCUUACCACACUUGUAGCAAACCUUCUUGGAGCGGGGUUUGUAAUCCUUCCCCCUCCUUUGUUUGAGGAUUUGGCGGAAGCUCUUGAUGAUGAGCGUCAUUUCUUCGUUGUCGAGCUUGGAGGCGUCGAUGGGGAGCCUACUUGAUGUAGACUCUUCUUUCUUUUCUUCCGACGAUUUGAAUUCGACGGGUUGCACCUCAGGUGUGGAGGUGCCGCCUUGCUCGAUGAUUUGUUUGGAGCCUUUGAUCAUCAACUCAAAGCUCACGAACUUUCCUAUCACUUCCUUGGGAGACAUUAGUUUAUAUCUAGGAUCACCACGAAUUAAUUGAACUUGUGUAGAAUUACGAAAAACAAGUGAUCUUAGAAUAACCUUGACCAUUUCAUGGUCAUCCCAUUUGGUGCUCCCGAGGUUGCGCACUUGGUUGACCAAGGUCUUGAGCCGAUUGUACAUGGCUUGUGGCUCCUCUCCUUGGUUGAGGAUGAAUCGACCGAGCUCCCCCUCGAUCGUCUCCCGCUUGGUGAUCUUGGUCACCUCAUCCCCUUCAUGCGCGGUCUUUAGCACAUCCCAAAUCUCCUUGGCACUUUUUAGCCCUUGCACUUUAUUAUACUCCUCUCGACAUAGAGAGGCGAGGAGUACAGUAGUGGCUUGGGAAUCAAAGUGUAGGAUUUGGGCGACCUCGUCCGAGUCGUAGCCUUCAUCCCCCACGGAUGGUACCUACGCUCCAAAUUCAACAAUGUCCCAAAUGCUAGCGUGGAGUGAGGUUAGAUGGUGCCUCAUUUUAUCACUCCACAUACAAUAAUCUUCACCGUAAAAAAUCGGUGGUUUGCCUAAUGGGAUGGAAAGUAAAGGAGUGCGUUUGGAAAUGCAGGGAUAGCGUAAGGGGAUCUUAUAAAACUUCUUGUACUCAUGGCACUUAGAAGUGACGAAUGGAGCGUCGGAGUCGGAGGUUGAUGGUGACGAAGAAUUGGUCUCGUAGUAGACCACUUUCUUCAUUUUCUUCUUUUUAUCGCCACUCCGGUGCGACUUGACGCGAGGAGGUGAUUCCUCCCUUCGUUUGUCGCCGGACUCCCACGAUGGAGCCUUCCCAUGACUUGUGGUCGUUUCCAUCUCCCUCUUGGCGAAUCCUCCCAACAUCACUUCGAGUUGUUAGACUCUAAUGAAGUACUGGGCUCUGAUACCAAUUGAAAGUCACCUAGAGGGGGGGGGGGGUGAAUAGGCGGAAACUGAAAUUUACAAACUUUAAGCACAACAACAAGCCGAGGUUAGCGUUAGAAAAUAAAUCGAGUCCGAAAGAGAUGGCGAAAACAAAUCACAAGAAAUAAAGCGAGUGACACGGUGAUUUGUUUUACCGAGGUUCAAACCUACUCCCCGUUGAGGUGGUCACAAAGACCGGGUCUCUUUCAACCCUUUCCCUCUCUCAAAUGGUCACUUAGACCGAGUGAGUUUCCUUCCUGGAUUUCCCAGGUCACUUAGACCCCGCAAGGACCACCACACAAUUGGUGUCUCUUGCUUUGCUUACAAGGCUUUGAGAGUAAGAAUGAGAGAAAGAAGAAAGCCAACCAAGCAACAAGAGCAACAAAAGAACACAAGUCAAUCUUCUCACAAGUCCUAAAAACUAGAGUUGAAUUGUGGACUUUGAUUUGAUCGGAGGCUUUGAUUUGUGUCUUUGAGUGUUGUGUAUUGCUCUUGUAUUGAAUGAGGAGUAGUGAAUGCUUGGAUGCCUUGAAUGGUGGUGGUUGGGGGGUAGUUAUAGCCCCAACCACCAAAACAGCCGUUGGGGAGGGCUGCUGUCGAUGGGCGCACCGGACAGUCCGGUGAGCCAGCCACGUCACCCAACCGUUAGGGUUCUGACGGUUUCGACCAUUGGAGCUCUGUCAGCUUGGGCACCGGAUAGUUUGGUGCCGCACUGGACAGGCACUAUUCACUGUCCGGUGCGCCUUCUGGCGCAUGCUCUGACUCUACGCGAACUGUCUGCGCACUGUUCAGUUGUCAGUCGACCGUUGAAGUCGACCGUUGCGCUGGCGGCCGUUGCUCCGCUGGCACACCGGACAGUCCGGUGACCCACCGGACAUUCCGGUAAAUUAUAGCGGAGCGUGGCCUUAGAAACCCGAAGGUGAAGAGUUUGAAGUCGAUCCACCCUGGUGCACCGGACACUGUCCAGUGCGCCAGACUAGGGUUUACUUCGGUUUCUUUUGCUCCUUUCUUUUGAACCCUAAAUUAGAUCUUUUUAUUGGUUUGUGUUGAACCUUUGGCACCUGUAGAACAUGUAAUCUAGAGCAAACUAGUUAGUCCAAUUAUUUGUGUUGGGCAUUUCAACCACCAAAAUCAUUUAGGAAAAAGGUUUGACCAUUUUUCCCUUUCAAUAGCCAUUUGAGAUCUUUGAGACAAAGACAGAUGCAUGUGGUUCAAUAACUUAGGAGGUUGUGUGACAACUCAAUUGGUCUGACUUUGCGUGUGUCGCUGUGGCACCUCGCGAGGUUUAUGGCGCAUAGACAGCACUGACUGACGGCGUUUGUGGGGACCGACCGUCUCUUCUAGAACAUUUGAAACUGAUGUGUUGACUACAUGACAGAAAGGAGCUGCUCAAGCCUCAAAAGUGGUGUCCCGGCCCAAAAGGAUUCAUGGGCUUCAUAGUGGAGUGACACGAUAGCUUGCAAGUUGCAACACAAUUCAUAUGGUCCGUUACAGCCCAGACCUGCGACAGGCUAACAUUUCCCCCGGAAGGCUGUAUAAGAGUGUCGGCGUUUCGACCCCGGGGGGUCCCUGGACCGACGAGUAAAUUGUCGCUGCGUGUCCCAGCCUAGAUGGGUCGGUGCGAGAUGGAACACAAGGGGGAAAAAGGGAACCACAGCUCAUGUUAUCCUGCGCCCAGGGCGGAUGCGCUUGCAGUAGGGGGUUACAAGCGUUCGCGAGAGAGGGGGAGAGCCUGCUCGUCAGCCCGUCCUCCCGCGCGGCCACCUCCUCGUACGAGGGCCCUGGACCUUCCUUUUAUAGAUGUAAGGAGAGGAUCCAGGUGUACAAUGGGGGGUGUAGCAAUAUGCUAACGUGUCCAGCAGAGAGGAGCCAGAGCCCUAUGUACAUGCUGACGUGGCUGUCGGAGAGGUGCUAGUGCCCUGUGCAUGUGACGUCGUGGCCGUCGGAGGAGCGUUUGAGCCCUGUAGAAGCACAGCUGUCGGGGCUGACGGGACCUUGCUGACGUCUCCUUGCUUCCGUAGGGGGCUGAGAACCGCCGUCGUCACGGGAGCACGCGAGGUGUCAUCAUUACUUGUUUACCGGGGCGAGCCACAUGGGACGCCGGUCUUGUUCCCCGUAGCCUGAGCUAGCUAGGGGUAGGGUAAUGAUGUACCCCUGUGUGGCGUGGUCAGCCCGAGCCCAAGGUCGGGCGAGGCGGUGACUCCUCCGAGGUCGAGGCUGAGCCCUAGGGUCGGGCGAGGCGGGGACGGUCUUCCGAGGUCGAGGUUGAGGCCGAGCCCUAGGGUCGGGCGAGGCGGAGACCGUCUUCCGAGGUCGGGGUUGAGGCCGAGCCCUGGGGUCGGGCGAGGCGGAGACCACCUUCCGAGGUCGAGGUUGUGGCCGAGCCCUGGGGUCGGGCGAGGCGGAGACCAUCUUCCGAGGCCGAGGCGGGGGCCGAGCCCUGGGGUCGGGCGAGGCGGAGACCACUUUCCGAGGUCGAGGUUGAGGCCGAGCCCUGGGGUCGGGCAAGGCGGAUCUUCCUGUUGCGCCUGAGGCCAGACUUAGCUGUUGUCAGCCUCACCCUGGCGAGUGGCACAGCAGUCGGAGCGGGGCAAGCGGCGCUGUUUUCCUGUCAGGUCAGUCAGUGAAGGGGCGAAGUGACUGCGGUCGCUUCGGUCCUGUCGAUUGAGGAGCGCACGUCAGGAUAAGGUGUCAGGCGGUCCUUGCAUUGAAUGCUCCUGCGAUACGGUCGGUUGGCGAGGCGAUCUGGCCAAGGUUGCUUCACUGCGAAGCCUGCCCGAGCUGGGCCUCGGGCGAGUCGAGGGUGUGCCCAUUGCUUGAGGAGGCCCUCGGGCGAGGCGUGAAUCCGCCUAGGUCUACUGUUCCUGCCCGAGGCUGGGCUCGGGCGAGGCGAGAUCGUGUCCCUUGAGUGGACGGAGCCUUGACCUGAAUUGCGCCCAUCAGGCCUCUGCAGCUUGUGCUGAUGGUGAUUACCAGCCGAGUUUAGGAGUCUUGGGGGUACCCCCAAUUAUGGUCCCCGACAAAGAGCAUCUCCAAGAGUGCCCUAAACAGGUGCCUUAUAUUGAAUAUAGGACAAUAUUCGGAAAAAAUGGAGUCCAACAGUGUCUCAUUUUAAUUAAUUUUAUAAAAAAAUAAUAGGGCACAAUUCCUAGUGUCCCAGAUAUGAGGCCUUGAAACAGACUGUCCUUAAAUGGAUGUCAACCGAUUGAAGUUUCAUCUAUUCCUAGUGUCCCAGCCAUAAACAAAUCAGCGCUGCCAUCGUGACCUUCCCAUCCCCACCAGUGUUGUCGCCGCCCUGCCCCUCCCCCAACGCUGACUCCCUGCCUUGCAACCGGCACCGCCCCGCCCUGCCCCGCGAGUUCGCCGUCGCAGUAGCCGACUCCCUGCCCUGCCACCGACAUCGCCCCGCCAUGCCCGCGAGUUCGCCGUCGCAGUGGCUGACUCCCUGCCCUACCACCGGCUUCGCCCCGCCCUGCCCGCGAGUUCGCCGUCACAGUGGCCGACUUCCUGCCCUGCCACCGGCACCGCCCCACCCUACCCCGCAAGUUCGUCGUCGCAGUGGCCGACUCCCUGCCCUGCCACCGGCACCACCUCGCCCUGCCCGCGAGUUCGCCAUCGCAGUCGCCUGCAGAGCGCCGCGAGUUCCCUGUCUUUGCCUGCCCAGCGUCGCUGCACCUCCUCGUCGCCCCGUGAGUUCACCGUCGCAGUUGCAUCUUCUCCAUGCCUCCUCGGAUUCUAGCAUGAUGGACCGAAGGCCAGCGCAAAAAUCCCGUCGGUCUGCAUUGAAUGCCGCCAUAGGUACGAUUUCUGGAGGCUGGCAUCCAUCGUCACAAGAUAAUCGUCGCAGCCCCACGAACGACAGUCAUGCAACACAUGCAAAACCUGAAGCUUCGUCGGUAGCUGCAUCUGUGCAAAACCCUCUAGACAACAGCAUUGAUGCCUCGUGGAUGCUUCCUGAUUACAAGUGCGUAUUUUUACUUUAUCUGUUAAACGAUUACAUACAAGCAAAUUGAUUUUUUUAAAUAAUGUAGCAGAUAAUCAUAAAGUAGUACAAUAGCAUACUACCCUCCCAAGAUAACUGAUGAAAAUGGUUAUAUCUUAAAUUUGUGCAGCAUACUACCCUCCCAAGAUAACUACUAUAGGAAUCUGAUGAACCAAGAUGAUACAGAUAAUUUAGGCUCGGAGGAUUACGUGCAAGUUGAUCCUCUUGUAGCUAAUAUGAAUUCCCAGACAAAACCAAAGGGCCUCUCAAAAAAUUUCACUGAUGAUGAGGACAUUCUACUGUUGUCAGCGUAUCUCAAUGUUAGCAAAGAUCCUAUUGCUGGAAGGGACCAAAAAGAUGGCAGAUUUUGGGAAAGAAUUGAAAAGUAUUAUCAUGUCAAUUUAACAUUUGAAUCGCUCUUCAUUGCAUCAUCGAUGGGGUAUAAUCCAAAAGAAAGUAAGUCUUUCCAAAGUUACUAUGAAGCCAUACAAAGGAAGAAUGAAAGUGGAAAGACAAUGAAUGACAAGGUACACUUUUAUACUCUUAUGUUAUGCGUUGCUUUUGUUCACAUAGCAUAAAAUGGUUGUGUGGUUGACAUAUGCAUUUUAUUGUAGAUUGCUGAUGCUAAAGCUAUGUUCCAAACCUUAAGAAAAAAGGCUUUUACUUUGUUUCAUGCUUGGAAUAUUCUUAGACACGAGCCAAAGUGGUCAUCAAUAAAGGACUCCACAAUGGCUACCAAGAAGCUAGAUCCUCACAACGGUAAUGAAGAUGAUGGACAUGACACCCCUAGACCACCAGGAAGGAAAGCCGAGAAAGAUAAAUUGCGAGCACGAAAGCGAGAGGACAAUGACAAUGAUGCAUUGAUGGAAGAACUAAAAAAAUUAGAGAGUCAAGAUUGGAGAUAGAAAAUGAUCGUAAUGCACGAGAAGACAAGUUAUUAGAGCCGGAGAGUAGUAAACUUGAUCUUGAGCGUGAACAACGUGACGACAAGGUGAUGAGAACCGACACAAGUACAAUGGAUGAUGAGUCGAAACAAUAUUUUAAGUUAGUGAAAGAGGAAAUUUUGGCGCGAUGUUUUGGGAGAAAGCAAGAUUGAGGGGUCAUGUUAUUAGAGUUGCUUUUAGUCAUACUGAACAGACUUGUAUUUUUUCUGUCUCUUCAAUAUAGUAUUUUUCCUGAAACGACUACAAGAUCUGUUUCCUAUAUAGUAUUUUUUUCGCUGCCAUUGUUUCCAAUUCUUAUCCAUUCACUGAUAUCUUCAACAUAGUGCACACAUGCGUACAAUAUAGAGAAAAUGUUAUGAACAAAAAUUGAAAUGAACAUGUUCUAAACACAACAUAAAAAAAUUAUUGUUCUCGUUUAUUUGACCUGUACGCUCCCAUAGAUGAUCAACUAAGUCUGACUGGAGUUGUUGGUGAAGGUGAGAAUCUUUGAUGCCUAGGCACAUCUGACCAAAUGAUGCCUAGGCACCACAAACUAUGGCAAAGCGAGCCUGCAACACUCCAAAUGCACGUUCAACAUCUUUCCUUUGUAACUCUUGGGCUUUAGUAAAAUUUUGGUCCUUUACAUUUGCCGGAACCUUCUUACUUUUCACAAAUGUUGACCAAGAAGGAUAAAUCCCAUCAGCUAGGUAGUACCCCAUAUCAUAGUCGUGCCCAUUGAUUUUAUACUUAACUUCUGGGGCUUCACCGGUAGCAAGUCGGUCAAAAAGAGGAGAUCUAUGUAAAACAUUAAUAUCAUUUUUUCACCCUGGUAGACCAAAAAAGGCAUGCCAUAUCCAUAAAUCGGAAGACGCAACUGCUUCUAAUAUAAUUGUUGGUUCUUUUACAUGGCCGUAGUACAUACCCUGAUAAGCUGUAGAACAAUUCUUCCACUUCCAAUGCAUACAAUCAAUGCUACCAAGCAUACCAGGAAAUCCACAUUGUUCAGCAAUAUUAAGCAGCCUAGCUGUGUCAUUAUUAUUUGGGCCCUCAGGUAUUUUUUGCCGAAAACCUCACAAAUAGCUUUGACAAAUUUCCGCAGACUCUUAAUAGCAGUGCUCUCAUCAAUCCUUAUAUACUCGUCAACAUAAUCUGCUGGAACAUCGUACGCUAGCUGCCUGAAUGCUGUUGUUACCUUCUGUAAACAAGAACACCAUCGGACAUCAGCAACAUUUUGUUUUUGAACAAAAUACUCGUCAUGCUCCUCAACGGUGUUAGCUAUCCUUUUGAAGAGGCGGUAACUCAUGCGAAAGCGACGCCGAAAAUACUUCUCAGGAUAUGUCGGAUUCUCGUCAAAAUAAUCAUGAUAUAAUUUUAUAGCGCCUUCUUCUCUACUUCGAUCAUAAACUUUUUAUCCAGGAAUCGAACCUCCAUGCCUUUUACGUUGUCGACGCAUCCUCUGUCGAUAUUCAACAAUCUUAAUAGCCAACAAGUCGUCGAGUUCAUCAUCUAGAUCGUCGUUCUCGCGAUGAAUGAUUCUUCUCAACAUUCCCAUCAUAUUUUCUGUAAUAUGUCAUUGAAUAAGAAGAAAAUGAUUGUGCGUCAAAAUGGUUACGUCGAAAUCUAUUAAAAAAUCAUCAUGGUCAUCACAUCUAGGCGGUCAACAGUAAUGAAUAAACAAUGAUAGAGGCGACGAGUGAUUGAAUAAUCAUCCUGUACCUUUACUGAUGUAGAUCGUGCAGAUACAUGUGCUUGAUCUGACGCCACAAGCUAGGUAGCCGAUCGGAGGAUGGAAGAUGCAUGCAGCCAAUUGCCAACGAGUUGUGAGCAUGCAGAUACAUGCAGCCAAAAGCAAAUGCACGCAUGGAGAUAUGAGCACAACGGUGGUAGGGAGAAGGCGGGAGAAACGAAAACAAAGCAAAAGAGAGCACACCGAAAAAAUAUCGUGGGGACGGUAACAACCUAAGCGCAACUGUUGGAGCUACGCAAUAUCGUGAGCCCUAAAUCAGUUUAAAUAAAGCCCGUUUUUAAUUUAUAGGUCACUGUUGGGAUCCUUCGUCUUCCGAAGGUCCUCAAAAACAUGACUAACAAUGUUUCCCAAAGCAUAAUAUAUGUGCAGGAAUCUUCAGACAUGGGAUGAAGUUGUACACAAUAUGGAAAGCAGGGUCAGAACGAAGGUUGAACUAGUGCUGAAGCUGUGCGCAAGGAAGCUUUGGCUCAAUAGCAGAAAAAGGAACCGACUUAAGGAGGAAAAGACUAUUUAGUCCUCGAUAAAUUGUUCUUAAGUUAAUACUAGAUAUGAAGGACAUGAAUGUAAUUUUGCACAGGCUGCGUCAUGUGCCUAUAAAUAGAUGAACAGUACCCCCGUAUUGUUCGCGCUGACCUGUACUCACUCGUGCGAUGCUUGUAUUCAAACCUUCUAUCGAGCCGAAGGUACAAAUGUAGUUCAAUAUUGUUCUUAUUCUUCCAUGAUUAUAUAAUAAAGAUAUGUAAAUAAUGUUGUGUGAUUAUUCAUGUUAUUCUCUCAUGUUUCAUAUGCUUCUCCUUUUAUCAAUGUAAACUGUGAUGAUGAAGGUAUGUCCUUCAUGACCUUCGUCCGGAGAUCGUUAUAUCCUAAGGGAAAUAAUGCUUCGAGGGACGAAAGACAUUAACCAGUAACUUCUUUCUGUGUUGCCUUGUUCUUAAUUCAUAGCAUUUGAGAACAAGUCCCCAACAUUGGCGUCCACCUCCGGUGUACUCACUUCCACAACCUUCGGCAAAGUAUCGUCCUUCGUCAUGCCGCCGAAGAAGAUAACAGCGCCAGCGGCUGCACUGCAGCCACUGGACACAAACCAGGAGACUCUCUCUCUCUCUCCGAGAGGCUCGAAGCCAGAAGAGAAAGGCCACUAGUCCAAUAUUCUAGGAGGAGGAGUUGGACCAGGAGAUCAGGGACAUGAAAAUCAUUCACCAACAGGUGCAAAGGAAGAUCGAUGAAGCUACUGAGGAAGUGCAUCAUCUUACUCAAGAUGAUCAAGACGGAAGGCCCCAACACAGGGAGCUUCAUCAAGAGGGCUUAUUCAACGAAGAUGGAUGGUACGAUGAUUUUAAUCAUGAUACCUUUACUUUUGAUGAUGCUUCUCCCUUGGCAGCAGAAUUGCAGGCUAUCCCAUGGCCACAAUCCUACAAGCCACCCCAGCUACCCAUGUACGAUGGGCACUCAGACCCAAAACAAUUUUUGAUGAGCUAUGAGGCAACAAUAUCCUCAUACGGAGGCAAUGCAGCUGUCAUGGCAAAGUCCUUCGUCAUGGGAGUCCGGAACGUAGCCCAGACAUGGUAUUCUUCCCUUCGGCCAGGGACUAUCACGUCAUGGCAGAAGCUCAAGGACAUGCUGGUUACCCGUUUCCAAGGCUUUUAGACGAAGCCAGUAACAGCUCAGGCCUUGUUCCAAUGCACGCAAGACCAUGAGGAAUACCUUCAGACGUAUGUCCGAAGGUUCUUGCGACUGAGAGCACAAGCGUCCACAGUGCCCAAUGAAAUUGUCAUUGAGGCCAUGAUCAAGGGUCUUCGGCCAGGACCUACGGCUCAAUACUUCGCCAGGAAGCCACCACAGACUCUGGAGAAGCUGCUUCAGAAAAUGGAUGAGUACAUCCGGGCUGACAACGACUUUCGCCAAAGAAGGGAGGAAGCUUACUGAUUCUCUGAGAUGACGAGGGGCUUUGGAGGAAGAAUCCACCAAGGCAUGUCAGAUCAAUCCACAACUCCAGUCAGAAUGAUGACAAAGGAAGCCAGCUUCAGAGGCCACAGUACACCUCACAGUCUUUGGGGCAGCAGCAAAGCUCCUUCAGGCCGCCAGCUCCAAGGGGCAGAGGCGCCAAGGGCUUCGGAGGAAGAUAUGGGGAUCAGCCCAGAAAAAUCUAUUGCUUAUUAUGUGGUGAGGACAAGGGCCAUACUACAAGAAUGUGCCAAAUCACUAUCCUGAAGCAAAAGGAGAUCACAGAAGCCAAAGCUUGGCAGAAUCAGCCGAAGUAAGACUUGCACACUGCUUCGUGCCACUCUCCUUACAUACCAGAAUAUGUGGGCAAUCAUCCUACAGCUUCUAUUGCUUCGGCUAGCCAUUCACAGGCUUCUUGGCCUCAGCUCCCACCGCCACCACCACUGCAACUUACCUAUUCCAGAAGCCAGCAGCCAGAAGGGCGCCAGCACUCACAACAGCAACAUCAAUUCAGGGAGGAAUCCGAAGCUCGUACAGUCAACAGUACUGUGCCAGAAUCAAAGCACAUUUAUUAAGCGAUAUCCUGCCUCUGAAAUACUUUUAUGUUCUAUGUCAUUUUGUUUUUUAAUAAGGAACAAGCAAUGUAAAUUUAGUUUUAAUUUCUUGUAAUGAUUUUGCUUCUAUCAGAAUGAAAUGUAUCUUCUUCACAGACUUACGAAGCUCAAAAAUUGCCGAAGCUCAAAAGUCGUUCCUAAGGGAAUGCAGAGCUAAAAUUGUUAAAGCUCAAAAGUCGUUCCUAAGGGAAUACAGAGCUAAAAUUGUCGAAGCUACAAAAAGUCGUUCCUAAGGGAGCACAGCGUAAGUUUUCUGCUCAAAAGUUGUUCCAAAGGGAAUGCAGAGCCAAAUACCGCCGAAAUAUAAGGCGAAGAAGUUCAAAAGACGUUCCUAAGGGGAUGCAGAACUUAUACCACCGAAAUAGAAGGCGAAGAAGUUCAAAAGACGUUCCUAAGGGGAUGCAGAACUUACACCGAAAAAUAAACAGUGAACACCGAAAAAUAAACGGUGAAGAAGGCUCAAAAGACGUUCCUAAGGGGAUGCAGAGCUUUUGUGUUCCAGUGUGGGCGUGUGGGUGUGUGUCUUCGGCAUCAGUAUCAUUUUGCAUCAUAUCAUCACAUCAUUUCGCAUAGCAUCACAUCAUACAUCAUAUCGCAUCAAUGACACGAGAAUCAAACACGGAGUUGAUCCUCGGCGAACGCUUCGCAAAUUUGAAAAUGUGCUAAGGCACGAAGCAGGCUUCGUGAAAUACAGCUUCAUCAGCCUUGUCACAAAAGAAGGGAUCCCUUUUUCCGAAGAAGGGAUAUUUUUACGAAGCAUGGAUCUUUUUCUUUAUGAAGCAUGAAAAGAAGGGAAUGUGUUUUUUCACCGAAGGCUCAAAAACGGUAUGUAUAUAAAGUUUCAUGCAUCGCAAAGAAAUGAAUUACAAUAAUUUUACAUAUUCGAUUCAAAGCUAUACACAUCAAAUAUUAUAGUCUUGUUACAAUAAAGGUACAAUGACCAUUCUAGUGUCUCAUACAUUGACCAUCUCAAAAUGUUUUUACAAUAAGUGUUAUUCCUCUUUAAGGACUUUCUCUGCAACUUCGUGCAGUAAUUUGUUAACAACUUCAUCAACAACGAAUUCAACCAUGUUUAUAAUGUCCAGCGCUUCCUUCAUUUCUGGAUCCGCUAGGGGAUCGAACGGUUCCGGCGACGGAGAUAAUUCAGCUGAAGUAGGAAAAAGUUGAUCAGUCUGAAGCCAUAAAAACAAAUGCCGAAGCUAAAAGCCAAGAAACAAUACCUAUACGCUUCUCGCACUCAGCAGCUUCUUCAGCUUGUCUUGCUUCUACUCGGGCGUCAUGGGUGUCUUUUUCACUUUUCUUUAUAAUUUCAUGGGCCAUCUCUCGGCCACCAUUCACCCAGAUAUCAUUGUAAAAUCUCCCGCCCAUCAAGCUUGCUUCAGCUGAAGGAUCCUUUGUAUUAUCUACGGAGAAGGCAGCUUCGGCCUGGGCCAUGGUCUUGAUGUGAUCACAUCUCGCCUUCUCCAAGAUAGCUAAAAUUCCACGCGCACCAGAAAACGCGCAAAUAUCCCUGCGAUCACUCAAAAUUUCUUCGAAGGUCUCGGCUUCUCCACUUAUCCAUUCAAUAACACCUUCAGGGUCGCCUCGUAUGAAAUUUUCUUCAGAAGAGUAGGCACCCACUUUGGCAAAGCUAGCUUUUAUUUUAUUUACGCAAUCCAAUGAUUUUUCAAAACACCUUUCCUUGGAUGUGUGAAGUUCUUCAACAUUCUUCUCUAGAUGAUUUUUCCAAUAUUCGCUGAUUUCUUGGUUAGCUUUUGCAAGUGCGCAUUUUUCUUUAGCUUCGGCCAGUUGCCUUCGAAGGUCUUCGAUUUCAAUCUUUUGGGCUUUGGCUUGAGCUGUGAAGCUAGCUUCGUCUUCUUUCACUUUGUUAACCAGAGAGAUUAAGAUUUUGUCUUUUUCAAGACCUUCGUUUCUUAAUUCAAUCACCUCUGAACGAAGGUUGUUCAGAGGCAUCGUAUAGCCUUCGUCUUCGACAUUUUUCAGCGCCCUAAGGGCAUUACAAAGAUUCAAGCCCUGCAAGAGAAGGAAAGAAUUGAGUAUGACAAAUGAAAUACCUCAUUUUCAAAAUUCAAAGUUAACUUUCAUACCUUUAUGCUAUUGUAUGCUAGGCUGUCAGCAAGUUCAUCCUUCGAUAAAAUCGAAAGGCCGUCUUCCAGCUUUGGGAAUCCGAUGCUUUUACCAAUCUCCCGGCAAACAGAUAUUUCUUUGUCAUCCGGGAGACAGUAUAGAAAAUCUUCUUCGCCACUACCAUUGAACACUAAUGCCCCCUUCGGAUAUUUCAAUUUUUGGGCAUAGUGUCGUGCUUCUAGCAUUUCUUCUUGGGAUAGUUCUUUUCCCGAAGCGUGACAAAUAAUAUAGUCAAUGUCUUUGUUCAGAGCUUCGGGAGCAAGAGCUUCGAUAUUUUUAGAUGCAAUUUGCUCUGUCGCCUUUUCUUCAGAUGCGGCAGGCUUUGUCAUGAUGGGCACUGAAGGCCCAGCUUCGGUUUCUACUUGCCUAGCUUCGGUUUCAGUUGGAGCGACUUUCUUCAUAAAAGUAGGACUCAAGGCCUUCGUCGUUUCCAGCACAACAUCCAGCACAUUCGCCAUCCUCCUCCUCUUGGGAGUUGCGGCAGAAGCCUUUUGUACCUUCGGUAGUGUUGCCUUUGUUGGAGGGCUCAAAAUUUCUGGCAUUUUCACUAUUUCUUCAAUUUUUGACUCUUCAGCCCUACCAAUCUUCGUCUCAACUAGCCCGACUGUAAGCACCUUUGGCAUUACAGUCGAUUCUUCAGUGAUCUGCGCAGUCGGAACAGUUUCUUUUGUUUCGGCAGCUAAAGAGGUCCCUUCACCAAAUUCAGGUAUCACGAUCGGUUCAAUAUAGCACGGCCGGUGAGUCAGAACCUUCAUCUUCUUGCCCUUCGGCUCGACUGUGAUGACCGGAGCGGCAGUCUUCCUCUUUUUUCCUUACCCUCGCAGUGGGUAUCAAUAAUCAGGGUAUACGAAGCCAAUAGCAUCAAAUACCCUGUUCAAUCUUUUCUUCUUUCGACCCCAAAAUCUGUGGACAAUGCAUUAUCCUCGGCCUUGGAGUAUGCCCCAAGUAGCUCGUCGCUAGUAGCUUCAAUACACUUCAGCCAGUCAUCAUUCAGCUCAUCAAACUUCUCCCCGAAUCUGAAGGUAUAUUUUAAUCGGACCAAACCACCUUCACUAGAGUCGACAGUGGUCUCUUUUGGCAUCUCCCAGCUCUCCACAAGUGGCCAUACCCUGAAGGCUAUGUGCUCUUGAAUUAAAUCUCUUGUGCCAAUAAAGGAGCACACAAUGCUGAAAGCCUUCUAACACGCUUCGGCGGCGUCAUCAAUUUCGACCUUCGGCCUAUAGAGGCCGAAGCGGGACCAGAUGGGGCGCAUGAUGAUUUCUUUAAUGUCUUCCCUUGCCUUUAAAUCAUUCUUCACAUAAAACCACUCUUCCAUCCAGGCUCCGGGCCAUCUCUUUCGAAACAUUGGCACCAAGUGGCUUGCGUUGGGGCGAGCGAUAAAUCCAUAACAACUGAAGUUGUUGUGGUACUGUUUUUUACCAAUGGUCUUCGUCUCAUAUAAAAGUUCAUGCAUACUACAGAAGCACUUCGCGCUUGGCUCUAGCCCUUGACUCCUUACUGCCCAGACAAAAAUCCCCAUCCUCAAUAUAGCUUCGGGGGUGAUCUGAUGAAGGAAGAUCUGGUAGAUUUUCAUCACUUCAACUACAAACAUGCUCAACGGGAACCAAAGUCCAGCCUUGAAGAAGCUUCGGUAAAUUACAACUUUGUUUUCCUCAGGAGCAAGGACGUUGUUGUCUCCACCAGCCUCACGAUAGACAUGUCCCGAAAGUACCUUCCUCUCAUGUUCUCAAGAUGACUCUAUUUAAUGGUCGAUUUUCUGAAGACAUUGUGGCUUGGUCGCCAGGGCCGUUCUUCAGAAUCUUCAUCUCCACUUUUCACGUCAUAGCUAUCGCUGUCACCUGUAUCUUCAGACAAACCUUCCAGCAUCUCUUUAGUAAUCUUUUCUGUGUUUGUUUUUGCCAUGGAUUCAAUGAAUCCAGUAUUAUAAGGAUUCGCAGCCUUCUUCUCCUUAAAUAGCUUCGUCUCCUCAGUCAGCUUCUCCUUCUCAGUCAUUUUUCCCCAGACAUGGUAAAAACGUGUCCUUUAACCGAAUCUCAGAAAACUUGAAAAUCUAGCGAGCGCUAGUGAGCAAGAGCCGAAAGUUUGAGAAAAUAAUGCGAAUGGCAGAAACAUCGUAUCAAAUACAGCAGGGGUGAGUUCAUAUUUAUACGCCUAGCACGCUCCAACUUGGAGGGCCCCGUCUAUCAUUGAUUGUUGCUAUUCUAGCAAAGGGAAGGUGUUUUUUCGGACCUUCGGCUUAAGGCCUUCGUUCACGUCGCAGUCUGGAUUCGUUAUUAUAACAAAUUGAUACUGCGAGGGCUAAUGUUGGAGGCCUUCGUCUUUCGAAGGUCCUCAAAAACAUGACUAACAAUGUUUCCCAAAGCAUAAUAUAUGUGCAGGAAUCUUCGGACAUGGGAUGAAGUUGUACACAAUAUGGAAAGCAAGGUCAGAACGAAGGUUGAACCAGUGCUGAAGCUGUGUGCAAGGAAGCUUCGGCUCAAUAGCAGACAAAGCAACCGACUUAAGGAGGAAAAGACUAUUUAGUCCUCGAUAAAUUGUUCUUAAGUUAAUACUAGAUAUGAAGGAAAUGAAUGUAAUUUUGCACAGGCUGUGUCAUGUGCCUAUAAAUAGAUGAACAGUACCCCCGUACUAUUCACGCUGACCUGUACUCGCUCGUGCGCCACGCUUGUAUUCAAACCUUCUGUCGAGCCGAAGGUACAAAUGUAGUUCAAUAUUGUUCUUAUUCUUCCAUGAUUAUAUAAUAAAGAUAUGUAAAUAAUGUUAUGUGAUUGUUCAUGUUAUUCUCUCAUGUUUCAUAUGCUUCUCCUUUUAUCAAUGUAAACUGUGAUGAUGAAGGUAUGUCCUUCAUGACCUUCGUCCGUAGAUCGUUAUAUCCUAAGGGAAAUAAUGCUUCGAGGGACGAAGGACAUUAACCAGUAACUUCUUUCUGUGUUGCCUUGUUCUUAAUUCAUAGCAUUUGAGAACAAGUCCCCAACAGUCACUAUUAUGAGGCAUACUGCUGGAGAUGCUCUAAGACCAUCUUCAAGAGAGGCAUCUACAGACCCAAUCUAAAAAUAGGUUUUUAAGCUGGUGCCAUCGGUUUUGUUGGUGUCCUCAUUUUUACCCUUAGUCGUGUUUUUCCUCACUUUUGUCCUUCUGUUCUAUAGCACUAUAAGCGCAAAACUGAGCAAAAAACACAACUAAGGAUAAAAGUGAGGAAACCAGCAAAACCAAAAAUACCUCUCCUAUGUUGAAAUAGCAGGCUCCAACAAGUAAGUUAUUUUUGGUAGGCCCAACGCAUCCAAUACCUCUCCGGACGAAAACAUCAUUCUCUACGUCCUUGACAUAUCUCGUUCCUAACCAACUAUCUUCCUACUUCGGUGCACUGGAGGAAGGGGUGGACAGCGUGCUGGGCGUGGAAGGCACGACGCAGCCAUCGAGCGAGUCCAUCCGCUCGAAUCUCUUGGCGGCGUUCAGCUUUUUCAUGUUCAAGGUCGUGGGGAGUGGAGUGACUACGAGCGUGAAGCGCCCCAAUCCACUGGGACUCAAAUGUGAUACAAUUACUAGUCCCAGGAGGCUAGUAAACACAUUUAUACAUCAGAUAGUUCCAGAUCUGCUUAAAGGAGACAAACCUAUAAAGGUGGCGAUCAACUUUAAGAGUUGGUCCACAACUCGGGAGAUAUCAUUAGAGUGGGGCUGAAGCAGCUUGAUAUAUGCAGCCAAGCAAAUCAGCGGUCCAACAACCACAUGCAAGGUUGGGAACAGACGUAACUCUUACCCGAUCAACGAUCUCCUUCUCUAGAAAACAAAAAAAUAAGCAAGGGUAAGUACUUACGUACUCAGCAGCCCACCUUCACUUAUGGAAUGGGGAAAUCAGAUAUAAUGCAUGGAGUAUGUGGAGCUCACGAUAUUUUGCAGAAAUAGCAAUAUUUGAUGCAAGGUUAUUUUGUAAAACAUUUUAUAUUUUUCAAAGCUCAUCCUCUCCCAAAGGAGCAGGAAGUUUUUUUAAUAUAGAACAAAAUCCCCUGGACUAAACCAUCCAGGUAUCUCAGCAGUUUCCCACUUGUUUUCAUUUUCAAAAACAGCUACUGGACUUCUCGUCCACCAUAGCUCACGGCUCAACCACUGGACCUUUUAAAACCACUUUUCAAAAGCAUUUUUGGAAAACCAAACACUAAUUGUCAAAUCCAUGCCAUGACUCAUCCAUAUUCGUGGACGUAGACUAUUCGAAUAGUUUUUUAACUCUACGCAGAGGUGUACACUUUACGCACUAGUCCGGUUUCUGCAAUCUCACCGUCGUGAGAUCCGAAUGUCGAAACUCUCUCUUUCCUUGCAUGUCCUUACCUUAGCGAUUAUACUAGAAGGAACAAGACCACACCAUGCCAAAAUCAGACAAAACAUUCCCCUUCCUUAUCCUCCCGGUGCUCCCCAGUUGUCAUAACCCUGGGGUUCGGACCGUGCAAGUUCAAAUUGAGCGACCGCCCAUACAGUCUCGAGUGGUUGUACUUGAUAAGAGUAUAGGUAAGGAGUGAUGACAAACCGGUCCUUAGGCGAGAGGGACAAUCCUUCAUGCUCACACCUAAACCAGUUGAGCCAUCACCUUAGGCCCUCCCCUAAACCAGGGGGUCCUUGAUUAUCCCGCUCAAAGGAGAUAAGGGUGACAACCCUUCAUCAUACCCAUUUUGAAAAAUAUUUUCUUUUGAAAACUCACACCUUUUCUUAAAUCAUUUGUAACAAAUAUGUCAAGGAGUAUAAAGAUUAAUUGCGGCAAAGUUCUAAGGCUGGGUGGCCAUAAUAACGUGUCUCUUAGCAAAAUCAUAUCAUGCAUAAAAUAACAGGCUGAGGUUGUGGUUGAAAAAGUAUAGGUAAUUUAUGCAUCAAAGGGAUCCAGUGAGCUUGCCGUUGCUUUAACCGGCGAAGGGGUGAGAGCUCGCGGAACUGGCUUCUGGCUCCACCACCUGGCGUAGACUUGCAGAUCUGGCCUUCACGAGUAGACACGAACGCUCUGAUAACUAUGUAGCAUGAACAAGCAAACAUACAAACCAACAAGUAUAUCAACAAAUAUUUAGUAUAGUGGUCAGAAUGGCGAUAUAUGGAUGGGUAGAGUCUUGAGCAGAAUCUGUGUCAUGUGGUGUUGUGAUAUUACUGGUGGCGGAGUGGAGGUGCUUACUAGGAGGGUGGAUUGGAGGCGAAGCGACACUAUGCGCGUAGCCGGCAGAGCGGGGUAACCGAGUGGGUAGGGUGUUUGCCUUGGCUGGGGGUGUUGAGUGUGUGGAGAGGGAGAGGGUAGCUGGGUGUAUGUGGUGUAGUACAGUAGAGUUUACUGUUGGUGAGAAUAGUGACGAGUGAAUCGUCUAACUUAGCCUGAACAUGGGAAUUAUAGGUGGAAUAUGGGACAAGAGUAUUUUGGGAGACUUUUGGAAUAUGAACCAUGCUUACAGGAUGACAUGGUUGGAUACUGAAUAAUUUGAUAAGAAUUCAGAAACAAGAAUUAUUGGAAUCUAAAUUUGGAAGCAUGGCUCAAAAGAAUCUCAAAGUUAAGCGUGCUCAACUUGGAGAAAAUCUGGGAUGGGUGACCAGAUUGGAAGUUCUUACUGGAAGGAAAAUCACAGUCACCGGAGUUCGUAUGACUGGAAUAUUGGUUUGGCAGGUCUUAGUUGAGCUAGACAGCAUGAUGGAUGAGCAGUUGAAAUUUGGGGUGACUGGAUGAUCGAUGAAUAGUAACGGUGAAUAGUGACAAUGAAAUAGUAACGAUAAUGAAUAGUAACAGUGAAUAGUAAUGGUGAAUAGUCGUAUGAACGAACGAUGAACGAUGAAUAGUGACUAUGAACGAACGAUGAACGAUGAAUAGGGACUAUGAACGAACGAUGAACGAUGAAUAUGGACUAUGAACGAACGAUGAACGAUGAAUAUGGACUAUGAACAAUGAAUAGGGACUAUGAACGAACGAUGAACGAUGAAUAGGAACUAUGAACGAUGAAUAGGGACUAUGAACGAACAGACAAAUGAUUGAAUGAUCGGACGAACGAACGAUCGAAAUUUUGGCAGCAUAACGGCUGAACAAAGAUUAUUUGGAUAAACGAACCGACGAACGAUCGAACGAUCGGACGAACGAACGAACAAACUAAGAACAGGUGGACGAACGAUCGAAGAACGAUCGAACGAUCCUUGUGCUAGUGUGUGCUUGUGUGGGACUUGGAGUGGGCGUGUGGGGGGUGCAAGAGUUGCCAUGAAAUGGCUUGGGUGGCUUGAGAGGAGGCCCUUGCCCCUCUAUUUAUAGGCUAGGUGGGGGGAUUAGGGGGAGGAGGCGAGGAUUAGUGGAGGAUGCGACGAUUAGUGGGAGAUAAGCAUGUAUUUGUCUUGUAUAAGUGAAAUUAGCUUGUAGAGCUCACUUUAUGACACCGGAGGCGUACGUAUACGUAUGAGCAUGAGAAAAUUAUGGGGAAAAUAUUUGUAGGGACUUUAAAAAUGAUUCUGAAGGUAUUUCUCAGGAGAAAAACAUUUGGAGAAAUAUCUAUGGAAUAUUUGGGCAGUACUUCUGGAAAGAAUCAGAGGGGAUCACUGGGAAAAUAUUUGUAGGAUAUUUUGAGGAGGAUUUUGUAGAGAAUAUAGACCACUAUAUUUUAUUUGUUGAGAUCAACUCGCAAACAAACAUUUUGAAAUGAAAAUUAAAAUUCGUUUUGAAUUUAGAGCGAGUUUGAGAAAAAUUCAAGAUUUGAAUUUUCAGGGUGCUACAGAGCGGCACAUGUGGUUGAGCGCGACUACUUUUCUGCUGAACUGGUGGCUGUGACGACGAGGACAAAGCAUCGUCCAGUGGUAGCAACGGCGUCCUAGCCAUCACCUUCGUGGCGUCGAACAACUUCGAGAUGGAGGCCUCGUAGCUCUUCACGGCCGACGACUUGAAGCUCCCCAACGACAGCAGGUUCUUCACCGCCUGCCUUACCAUGAAGGACGAUAAGCGCAAGGGCGGUCUGCUCGGUCUACGUAUACUGGAGCUGGAGGAAGAGGCGUGCAUGCUAGGGACGUUCACUACCGGAAUCUGGCUCUUUGCCGAGUCCUCGGCGCUUUGUCAAGUGCUUUCUAUCGGGCACUCGGCAAAGAAGUCUUUGUCGAGUGCCGCACUCGGUAAAGUCCUGCUCUCGAUAACGACCACGUUUACCGAGAGCAGGACUCUCAGCACAGAAAUACACCCGGCAAAGAAAUCUUUGCCGAGUGCCAAACACCCGACGAAUGACAGCUAAAAGUCGCCUAGAGGGGGGGUGAAUAGGCGGAAUCUGAAAAUUAUAAACUUAAGCACACACUACAAGCCGGGGUUAGCGUUAGAAAUGAAUUCGAGACUGAAAGAGAAGGGAAAAACAAAUCAACCAAGAAAUAAAGCGGAUGAACACGGUGAUUUGUUUUACCGAGGUUCGGUUCUAAAGAACCUAGUCCCCGUUGAGGUGGUCACAAAGACUGGGUCUCUUUCAACCCUUUCCCUCUCUCAAACGGUCACUUAGACCGAGUGUGCCUUUUCCUUAAUAUCCUGGGUCACUUAGACCCCGCAAGGACCACCACACACUUAGGUGUCUCUUGAUUCGAUUACAAAUCACUUGAGAAAGGAACACAAAAUCUCUCUCUCUCACAAGUCACUAGGUGCUUGAGUUGAAUUUGGGACUUGGAGAGGCUUUGAUCUUUUGAAUUGUGUCUAGGAGUGAAUGCUAGUGCUCUUGUAAUGAAUGUGAUACUUAUAAAUCUUGGAUGCUUGGAGUGGUGGUGGUUGGGGGGUAUUUAUAGCCCUCAACCACCAAACAACCGUUGGGGCAAGCUGCUGUCGAUGGGCGCACUGGAUAGUCCGGUGCGCCAGCCACGUCACCCAACCGUUAGGGUUUUGGAGCUUUUGAUCAUUGGAGGCUUUGUCUUCUAGUGGCACCGGACAGUCCGGUGCCGCACCGGACAUGCACUAUUCAGUGUCCGGUGCGCCUCUGACCGAUGGCUCUUACUCUGAGCGCACUGUUCUUCACUGUUGAUCUGAUCAUCAUGCUUUUGUAGUCGACCGUUGUGUGGAGUAGCCAUUGCUCCGCUGUUACACCGGAUAGUCCGGUGACACAUCGGACAGUUCGGUGAAUUAUAGUGGAGCGUGCCUGAAGAAACCCGAGAGUGGCUAGUUGGACUCUGUACGGACCUGGUGCACCGAACACUGUCCGGUGGCACACCGGACAGUCCGGUGCGCCAGACCAGAGCACAAUCGGUUUCUUUGCUCCUUUGAAUUUGAUCCCUAACUUCAAUCUUUUAUUGGUUUGUGUUGAGCCUUUAUGCACCUAUAGAACAUGUAAUCUAGAGCAAACUAGUUAGUCCAAUAUUUGUGUUGGGCAUUCAACCACCAAAAUUAAUAUUGGAAAAAGGUUAACCAUAUUUCCCUUUCAAUCUCCCCCUUUUUGGUGAUUGAUGCCAACACAAACCAAAGCAAAUAUAUAAAGUGCAGAAAUGAACCAGUUUGCAUAAGGUAAGUGCAUAGGUUACUUGGAAUUAAACCAAUUUAUAAUUUCACUAGAUAUGAAUGGAUUGCUUUCUUUUAUUCAACAUUGUGGACCACAUUUGCACCACUUGUUUUGUUUUUUCAAAUCUUUUUGGAAAAUCUUUUCAAAAUCUUUUGCAAAUAGUCAAAGGUAUAUGAAUAAGAUUGCAAAAAGCAUUUUCAAGAUUUGGAAUUUCUCCCCUUGUUUCAAAUGCUUUUCCUUUGAUUAAACAAAACUCCCCCUGAAUGAAAUUCUCUUCUUAGUUUUCAAGAGGGUUUUAAUAGAUACCAAUUUUGAAUAUAUACCAAUUGAAUAAAUUGUUAUCACAAUAUACCAAUUGAAAAACAAUCAUUUGUGAAAACCAAAUAAAUAUUCAUUUCAAAUUUUUGAAAUUGAUGGUGCGGUCCUUUUGCUUUGGGCUUAAUAUUUUCUCCACUUUGGCAUUAAUCGCCAAAAACGGAGAUGUUGAGAGCCCUUUUUACUUUCUCCCCCAUUGGUACAAGUAAAUAUGAGUGAAAGAUUAUACCAAUCGAAGAGUGGUGUGGAGUGACGACGAAGGAUAAAAGAUACCGGUAGAGUGGAGUGGAAGCCUUGUCUUCGUCGAGUACUCCAUUUCCCUUUCAAUCUACGACUUAGCAUAGAAAUACACUUGAAAACACAUUAGUCGUAGUUAUGAAGGAGAGAUGAUCAAAGGUAUACAAAUGAGCUAUGUGUGCAGUGUUUCAAUCAAAAUUCCGAGAAUCAAGUAUAUUUAGCUCAUUCCUAUGUUUGCUAAAGGUUUUCUCAUCUAAAGGUUUGGUAAAGAUAUCGGCUAAUUGUUCUUUGGUGCUAACAUAAGCAAUUUGGAUAUCCCCCUUUGUUGGUGAUCCCUGAGAAAGUGAUACCGAAUGUCUAUGUGCUUAGUGCGUCUGUGUUCAACGGGAUUAUCCGCCAUGCGGAUUGCACUCUCAUUGUCACAUAGGAGAGGGACUUUGCUCAAUUUGUAGCCAUAGUCUUCUAGGGUUUGCCUCAUCCAAAGUAAUUGCGCACAACAAUGACCUGCGGCAAUGUACUCGGCUUCGGCGGUAGAAAGAGCUACUGAGUUUUGUUUCUUUGAAGCCCAAGACACCAGUGAUCUCCCUAGAAACUGACAAGUCCCUGAUGUGCUCUUCCUAUCAAUUUUACACCCUGUCCAAUCAGCAUAUGAAUAUUCUAUUAAAUCAAAAGUGGAUCCCUUGGGGUACCAAAGUCUAAACUUAGGAGUAUAAACUAAAUAUCUCAUGAUUCUUUUCACGGCCCUAAGGUGAACUUCCUUAGGAUCGGCUUGGAACCUUACACACAUGCAUACGGAAAGCAUAAUAUCUGGUCGAGAUGCACAUAAAUAGAGUAAAGAUCCUACCAUCGACGGUAUACCUUUUGAUCUACAGACUUACCUCCAUGUCGAGGUCGAGAUGCCCAUUUAUUCCCAUGGGUGUCUUGAUGGGCUUGGCAUGCUUCAUUCCAAAGUUGUUAAGUAUGUCUUGAAUGUAGUUUGUUUCGCUGAUGAAGGUGUCGUCUUGGAGUUGCUUGACUUGAAAUCCUAGGAAAUACUUCAACCCCCCAUCAUAGACAUCUCGAAUUUUUGUAUCAUGAUCCUACUAAACUCUUCACAAGUGGAUUUGUUAGUAGACCCAAAAAUGAUAUCAUCAACAUAAAUUUGGCAUACAAACAAAUCUUUUGCAAUAGUUUUAGUAAAGAGAGUAGGAUCGGCUUUACUGACUUUGAAUCCAUUAGUGAUAAGAAAAUCUCGCAGGCAUUCAUACCAUGCUCUUGGGGCUUGCUUGAGACCAUAAAGCGCAUUUGAGAGUUUAUACACAUGGUUAGGGUACUCACUAUCUUCAAAGUCGGGAGGUUGCUCAACAUAGACCUCUUCCUUGAUUGGUCCAUUGAGGAAGGCACUUUUCACGUCCAUUUGAUAAAGCUUAAAGCCAUGGUAAGUAGCAUAGGCAAGUAAUAUGCGAAUUGACUCAAGCCUAGCUACGGGUGCAUAAGUUUCAUCAAAAUCCAAACCUUCAACUUGUGAAUAACCUUUGGCCACAAGUCGGGCUUUGUUCCUUGUCACCACACCAUGCUCAUCUUGCUUGUUGCGGAAUACCCAUUUGAUACCUACAACAUUUUGGUUAGGACGUGGAACUAAAUGACAUACCUCAUUCCUCGUGAAGUUGUUGAGUUCCUCUUACAUUGCCAACACCCAAUCCGAAUCUCUUAGUGCAUCCUCCAGCCUGUAUGGCUCAAUAGAGGACGCAAAAGAAUAAUGUUCACAGAAAUGUGCAACUCGAGAUCUAGUGGUUACCCCUUUAUGAAUAUCACCGAGGAUGGAGUUAACGGGUUGAUCUCUUUGAAUUGCUUGGUGGACUCUUGGGUGUGGCGGUUUUUGACCCUGUAUUUCUUAAUCAUCUUUCUUGUCUUGAUCAACUUCAUCUCCCCCUUGAUCCUUGUCCUCCUCUUGAGGUGGCUCAUUUUCUUGAUCUUCAUCAUCUUGAGCAUGUUCCUCAUCUUGAGUUGGUGGAGAUGCUUGCAUGGAAGAUGAUGGUUGAUCUUGUGCUUGUGGAGGCUCUUCGGAUUCCUUAGGACACACAUCCCCAAUGGACAUGUUCCUUAGCGCGACGCUUGGAGCCUCUUCAUCAUCUAAUUCAUCAAGAUCAACUUGCUCCACUUGGGAGACAUUAGUCUCAUCAAACACAAUGUCACAAGAAACCUCAACUAAUCCAGUGGAUUUGUUGAAGACUCUAUAUGCCCUUGUGUUUGAGUCAUAUCCUAGUAAAAAGCCUUCUACAGCCUUAGGAGCAAAUUUAGAUUUUCUACCUCAUUUAACAAUGUAAUACUCAAAAGUGUAAUAAACAGAAUAGAGAUAAUCUCAAUGGUUUGCGGCCUCUACUAAGUAUUGCAUGUGCUCAACACUAGUUAAAAGUGGAUGAAUAGAACAAUGAACACAUAAUUAAUCUAUGCAUCAUGUUGAGUUUUUAUUUGAUUGUGCAUUUGUGCUUAACAAAAUAAAUAUAUCAUUAACAACAUAUCAAUGGAUCCAUAAAAAAAAUUAAACUCUAACUUGGGAAUAAAACCAUGAAAAUAGAGAGGAAGGAAUAUUGUUCAAUACAAGUAAAAUUAUAAUUUAAUCACUUCAUCACAGUUGGUAUGAUCAAAAUAAAUAAUUAGGCAGUGUACAAAGUGCCACAAAGUUUGAAUUUGAAUUGAAGUUUGAAUUUGGAAAGAAGGGAAGAUAUAAAAAGAAAAGGGAAAAGAACCUACCUGGGCCUUGGCGCCCCAAUUCGGCCCAACUCCGAAUUACAACCCGCGCAGCCCAGCUUCUAUUUCUUUGCGCCGACAGAUGGGGCCCACUGGUCAGUCACAAGCCCUCUCGCGCGCACACUAGUUCGGAUCGCUGCUGGUGGGGCCGCCCAGUCAGCCUUUCACGCGCGCGUCGCCUUCUUCGCGCUUACGCCUCUGCGCCGCAGGGCCCACUUGUCAUCCGCGGGUUAGUGAUCGUCACCCUCGAGUCGUAACAGCUUGACCGAUUCCCUCGCGUGGCCGUCGGGAUGAACUCCGCGCCGCGAGAUUCAAGCCGGCGGACUCGGACUCCUUGGUCCAAUCGCGCGACCGUUUUUCCUUAUAACCGGGCCACCUUCGCCAUUGCUGCCCCCUUACCGUGGAGCGAUUGCAGUGAACAGACGGAGAGGAGAGAGAGAGAAAGAGGGCCGCCGCCUGUGGUUUUCAUCCGUGCCGACGUUCCGACCUCGGCGAGUGGCCAUCGGCGCGCGUCUGUGUCCUAGGAAGCUGACCGUGGCCUUGCGGUGGACCUUGCGCCCCAACGGUGCGGGGAAUUCCUCGCCGGAGUCUUCACCUCGGCCCCGAUCCGCCGUACGCCGCGGGUGGCACGUCUGGUUCCCGAAUCUGGUAAGUUUGGCUACCCAUGUAGUUCGUCGUGUCAUAUACUUCGCGUAGCACCAGUUAGGGUAAGAAAUGGACCUCCGCUGCGCCGGAUGGCCGACCUCCGGUGAGAACGCCGCUGUCGGCCAGAGCGGCGCCGCCAUGCACAUCUGCCCAGUUGGGGCGAUGAUCACGCGCCAUCGGAUCAGUGACGCACGGCCGAGAUUAAAACCCGCGCAUCCUUUCGAAGCAGUCUGGUCCGUCGAUCUCGAGUUAGUCGGCCGGGAUUUAAUGAUGUGUGGAGCGAGCGAUUGCCGUGGAUUCUAGAUCCAGUGGCCUCAGUUGUAUACCGUUUCGUUUCAAGCCGGUUAGAUCCUGGCCCUAGAAUUUUAAUCGGACGACCAGGAAUCACCCGUACCCCUUCGCGGGUCAGUUUUAUUAAAGAGCCCCUGAGAUUCCAGAGAAUCAACCCGCCAUCCACAGGGACUAUUCUCUGUGUCUCUGGAGUUUUUACCCCGAGCCCCCUGAGUUCUCUGGAAAUAGUGCGCCCAGCCCAGAACUUUAUAAAACCAGAGAAAACAAUUUAUAAAUGGAUUUUUAAUAGAAAAAUAAUUACUAAAACUUUAUAAAUUCAUAGAAAAUUCAUACUAACUCCAAAUUAAUCCAUUUCAGUUCCUAAAAUUUUGUAUUUUUAUUCUCUAUCACCUAGAGCCUCUGUUUUAUCAUGACCAUAGUAAGAAAAUUAACCUCACACUUAAUCUUACUUAAAGCACAUAAAACCUUUGAAAAUCCAUAACUUAAAUUCUAUAACUCCAAAAAUUAUGAUUCCUGUUCCUAGAAUCUUAUUUUAAUGUCUAGAUUAUCACUGUGUAUUUUAUUUACAUGCUUGGUGUAAUGUUAAUUUUGCCUAUACAAUGUUUGUUUGUAUUGCUACGACUAGAGCGAGGACACGUGUUAUCUGA
rnacentral:lncRNA from 1 species